rnacentral:rRNA from 1 species
AGAGAGAGACAUGCGCGCAUAUCAAUAAGCGGAGGAAAAGAAACUAACUAAGGAUUCCCUCUAGUAACGGCGAGUGAAGCGGGAAGAGCUCAAAUUUGAAAUCUUCAAGGUUCUACCUUGACGAAUUGUAGUUUAAAGAAGUGUUUUCUGUUGGAAGUUUAUGGUAAAAGUUCUUUGGAAUAGGACAUCAUAGAGGGUGAGAAUCCCGUAUUUGACCAUUAUUUUCCAGCUUCGUGAUACACUUUCAAAGAGUCGGAUUGUUUGGGAAUGCAGUCCAAAAUGGGUGGUAAAUUUCAUCUAAAGCUAAAUAUUGGCGAGAGACCGAUAGCGAACAAGUACCGUGAGGGAAAGAUGAAAAGAACUUUGAAAAGAGAGUUAAACAGUACGUGAAAUUGUCAAAAGGGAAGCGUUUGACACCAGUGUUGUUUUCUCGAAAAUCAAUUAAAAAAUGGCUAGGAUUUUGUAUUGUAUUGAGACCUUUAAUCAGCUUCACUGCACAUCUUUUCGUGAUCUUUUUUAAUGCACUUUUCGUUUAACAAGUCAACAUCAGUUUCUUUUGUUGUAAAAGGGUCAUUGGAAGGUGGCUUUCUUUUCGGAGAAAGUGUUUAUAGCCUUUGGCCUCUGCAAUCGGAGAGACUUGAGGUCUGCAGCGUAGACUCCUUCGGGGUUAGAUACAUUUGUGCUAAGUUAUAGCUUUUUAUAGACAACUUGUUGACUAUAAUUAGUCUUGUAGCUUACUCGCUUAUGCUAUUUUACCUACGCUUAGGAUGUUGAAGAUGUAGCACAUCAU